rnacentral:rRNA from 1 species
CCUACGGGAGGCAGCAGUGGGGAAUAUUGGACAAUGGGGGGAACCCUGAUCCAGCCAUGCCGCGUGUGUGAAGAAGGCCUUAUGGUUGUAAAGCACUUUAAGCGAGGAGGAGGCUACUUUGGUUAAUACCCAGAGAUAGUGGACGUUACUCGCAGAAUAAGCACCGGCUAACUCUGUGCCAGCAGCCGCGGUAAUACAGAGGGUGCGAGCGUUAAUCGGAUUUACUGGGCGUAAAGCGUGCGUAGGUGGCUAAUUAAGUCAAAUGUGAAAUCCCCGAGCUUAACUUGGGAAUUGCAUUCGAUACUGGUUAGCUAGAGUAUGGGAGAGGAUGGUAGAAUUCCAGGUGUAGCGGUGAAAUGCGUAGAGAUCUGGAGGAAUACCGAUGGCGAAGGCAGCCAUCUGGCCUAAUACUGACACUGAUGGACGAAAGCAUGGGGAGCAAAC